CUGGAGGGGAGUUCUGUGGGGCUGAGGAGCACCUCGGCAUCUGGAGUCUGGCAGGAGUGGUGAAGGGCAGAGGGGCUAGCUCGGGCAGUGCAAAGGCAUCGGGACCUGGGAGCCAGGGAGGAGCAUGGUGUAGCUUCCAGGCAACGCAGAGGCUGGAAAACAUCGGUGUGGCGCUGAAGGGCCUGAACUAGGGUUGGUGAGAGGAAUGGGGAGCCAGACAUUCAUCCCGGUCACUUUUGGUUACAGGACGUGGCGGCUGGUCGGAUAAAGGGGAGCUGCUGGGAAGGGUUCGACCCCAGACCUGGCAGUGGAGGUGUAGCUGGCAGCAGUGGCAGGUGAGGAUCGCCGUCUGCUGGGCAGGUGAGUCUCCUUCUUCUCUUUGGGCCUCGCUGCUCUGACCUUCUAAAAGAAGGUUUAGAGAGCGAGGCCAGUGAGAAGAAGUGGCUGGCCUCCCAGCAGAAUGGCACAUGAGAGGCAGGACAGUUAGCAAAGGAGACAUCGUCUCGGGGGGAGCCGAGACAGAACAAGGCUGGGGGACCAUUGGCCACCCCGGAGUGGACAGAGCAUUUAGAGGGAAGGAAGAAGAGGGCGUAGGGCUGCCAGUAAAGACUGAGGCUGCUGACUCCAGGGAGGUGAUAGGUGACCUUGGAGACAGUGGCAGAGGCCAUGGGAUCCAGCAAGAAUAGAAGCAUUCCAGGCUGGGGUCAAACAGGGCAGGACGGGGGUCACAAGACACAGAUGGGUCCCCAGCCGCCACCACAUCCCACCCACCGUAAUUCAUUUAGAAGUAGGUUCAAGAGUGGCUCUGGCAAGGCCUUCCAAGGCCCUUGCCAGAGCUUCGAGGGCCGGAGAGCGGGAAAGAAAGGCAGUGCACAGGUAAACGUAGCAGGGUGUCACCAGGAGAGGAGUGGAGGCUGCAGGUGUAGGACUCCAGGGGAUUUCACAGCAAGGAGGCUGCAGUGGGUCCAGCCUGCAGACACACCAUUCCCACGAGGCACUGCGGCCCAGGGACUGGCGCGGAAAGGGCCCACAGUGGACUUGGUGCACUGUAUGCCCUAACCGCUCAGCCCCUGGGUCUGGCAUGGCAGACAGUUCAUUUCCAGGGGAGUCAAGGGCACAGGAUGAAGCCAGACAAGGCGAGGCGGGUGGGGCAGAAUGAGUGAGCUUUCUAGGGAGGGAGGUUGGGGCGUAGGUAGAGCGAGGCAAAGCAAAUGGGGUGAUGAGCCAGCGAGGCACUGGCCUCCAGAGUCCGUGGCCAAGGAGGGCCUUGCGGGCGGCGACGGAGCAGUGAUCGGUGCCUCUGAGAGCUCGGACUGGAGACUAGGCCAGGUCUCCAGCAGAGGUGGAUGUGCCUGCCGGCCACUGAAGGCCAGGAUGGCAGGUGUGGUCAAUACAGAUAGAAAGACAUGACAUGGUCCGGUGUGAUGGAGAGGACAGAAGGACGGUCAUCCAGCCUUCCUGAACACCAUGGGCUGGCGCCGUGGGACACUGCCACAGAAGCCGUCUGUUCUUUUAGUUUUCCCAAAGAGCUAACACAUCUCUGCUGCUCUCUGGAUCCUCCUCCCCCUACUUUGAACCCUCAAGAUGAAAGAAAUGGUGCUACCCAGCUCAUGUCUGGGCCUUUGAAUCCGGGGACUUCUUGAAGUCCGUCUAGUUCUGAAUCAAGAGUAUGUUGUGCUUGGAACCACUACAUUACCUGCCUCAGGAAUCGGCUCCAAGGUGAAGCUGAAGGAGCAGACGGUGUCAGCACUUUGAAAAAGCAGACCCACAGCACCCACCCACCCCUGAAAUUCCAUCUUCAUGGCCAACUCUGCCUCGCCUGGGAGACCACCACCCACAUCAUCCUAGAGCCAAGCCUCUGCUCUGGGAUGGAUCCAUCACCAUCAUCUCCCUCCUGUCUUUUUCUUCUUCGUCCUUUCCUGCAACCUUAUGUUUCUUUCCUUUUGUUUUUUCUUUGCUUGAGAGACUCAAAAGCAUCCGUGACUCUGUUUCCCCGCCUACCCCCUUUGAAUUCAAUUUGCACUAAGUCGUUUGCACUGGUUGGAGUUGCGGAGACAGCCUUGUGUCUCUCCGUGUGAAUGUAUACAGUGAAUGUGCAGGGGCCCCUUUGGCCAUGCCGCCCCAGUGCCUGCCUGUCAUCCACCUCUGUCUGGGGGCGACUGGGUGUGGCCGCGUGCUUGAGGCCUUGCCUUCCCCUCGCCUUGUCUGGAAAUAGUUCCAUCAUAAGUGUUCAACAUGCCCUACUUCAUCCUUUGUCCCUCCCUACCAGGGCCUCACCAGAGGUCCUGGGUCCAUCAAUAAAUACAGUUACAGUCA